rnacentral:rRNA from 1 species
CCAACCUACCCUAUGGACGGGGAUAACCUCGGGAAACUGAGGAUAAACCCCGAUAGAUCAUUAUACCUGGAACGGUUUAUGGUCCAAAUGAUUCGUCGCCGUAGGAUGGGACUGCGGCCUAUCAGCUUGUUGGUGAGGUAAUGGCCCACCAAGGCUAUUACAGGUACGGGCUCUGAGAGGAGAAGCCCGGAGAUGGGUACUGAGACACGGACCCAGGCCCUAUGGGGCGCAGCAGGCGAGAAAACUUUGCAAUGUGCGCAAGCACGACAAGGUUAAUCCGAGUGUUUCCUGCUAAAGGAAUCUUUUGCUAGUCCUAGAAACACUAGCGAAUAAGGGGUGGGCAAGUUCUGGUGUCAGCCGCCGCGGUAAAACCAGCACCUCAAGUGGUCAGGAGGAUUAUUGGGCCUAAAGCAUCCGUAGCCUGCUCUGUAAGUUCUCCGGUUAAAUCCAUUAGCUUAACUGAUGGGCCGCCGGAAAAACUGCAUAGCUAGGGAGUGGGAGAGGUAGACGGUACUCGGUAGGAAGGGGUAAAAUCCUUUGAUCUAUUGAUGACCACCUGUGGCGAAGGCGGUCUACCAGAACACGUUCGACGGUGAGGGAUGAAAGCUGGGGGAGCAAACCGGAUUAGAUACCCGGGUAGUCCCAGCUGUAAACGAUGCAGACUCGGUGAUGCCCUGGCUUGUGGCCAGUGCAGUGCCGCAGGGAAGCCGUUAAGUUUGCCGCCUGGGAAGUACGUACGCAAGUAUGAAACUUAAAGGAAUUGGCGGGGGAGCACCACAAGGGGUGAAGCCUGCGGUUC